rnacentral:tRNA from 1 species
GGCGCGCUAGCAAAGCGGUUAUGCAGCGGAUUGCAAAUCCGUAGAGAUCGGUUCGACUCCGGUGCGCGCCUCCA